AGCGAUUUGCCGUAUUAUUUUGGAACUACUGAAAGUAGAGGAGACAAAUGAUGUAGUUUUCUGGGUCCUGGUGUUGAAGAAGGAUGAAGUUCUGGGUUGAGUGUCUCUAGGAUCAAGGACAAGUGAUGUCGUUGGUUGACUUGAUUGAACUAAUGUACAUACAUUAGAUUGGGUUGUCGUUGUGCAGACAGCUGUGGUAAACGUAGACACAAAUGUUGUGUUGGAGAGAUAUGUUGGAGUAAGUCCAGGUGUUGUAGUGGAGACAGAAGUUGUAGUAUCUGAUAGAGCUUCAAAGGAUGCAGAUGUUACAGAUACAGA